CCUGUACGAACAUCCCCCUGAGAUUUAAAAAAAAGAGAAAAAAAAUAAGCCAAAAGUCAACUCCUGUCACAAAGAAACAUCAAGACAAGGGGAAGAAAAAGGCAAUGAAGAGUGAUGAUGGUGACGCUAUGUUUUUGUUGGCAAAGAACAGGUUUGUGACAGUGCGA